GCCAAGUGGACUGUCGCAAGGGGAGCUGGGAAUGGCCUGGUGCUGGGGGAGAGGUCCCAGAGGGCCAGGGAAGGCCGAAGCCAGAGAAUGGGGUUUUGCAGAGGGUAGACCACGAUCCCUCUGCUAAGCACACACCCUGCUGAGCACCGGGAAUUGAGCAGUGCCUGAGACAGAGUGUCUGCCCUCAGGGGGCUUCCAGUGGGGAGCCAGAUAAAUACACCAUGUCAUUGCAGCAGGACACAGGAUAAACAAGGCCAGCAAAAGGUGGCCUCUGAGGAGGGAUGAAACAAGCAAUCCAGCUGUGGAAGGAACUGGAGAACAGCCGUUCCAGACAGCUGACAGCAAGUGCAAAGGACCCGAGGCAGCGGCAGCGAUAAGCCUGGUAAGUUCUAGAAUUGCA
rnacentral:lncRNA from 1 species